rnacentral:rRNA from 1 species
AGCGAACGCUGGCGGCAUGCUUAACACAUGCAAGUCGCACGGGUCGGGGUAACCGUCGGCAGUGGCGGACGGGUGAGUAACGCGUAGGUAUCUAUCCAGAGGGUGGGGGACAACCGCGGGAAACUGCGGCUAAUACCGCAUGAUGACUGAGGUCCAAAGCAGCAAUGCGCCAUUGGAGGAGCCUGCGUUCGAUUAGCUAGUUGGUGGGGUAAAGGCUUACCAAGGCGACGANCGAUAGCUGGUCUGAGAGGAUGAUCAGCCACAUUGGGACUGAGACA